rnacentral:rRNA from 1 species
UACGUAGGGUGCAAGCGUUGUCCGGAAUUAUUGGGCGUAAAGAGCUCGUAGGCGGUCUGUCACGUCGGCUGUGAAAUCCCGAGGCUCAACCUCAGGCCUGCAGUCGAUACGGGCGGACUUGAGUACUGCAGGGGAGACUGGAAUUCCUGGUGUAGCGGUGAAAUGCGCAGAUAUCAGGAGGGAACACCGGUGGCGAAGGCGGGUCUCUGGGCAGUGAACUGACGCUGGAGGAG